GAUGAACGCUAGCGGCAGGCUUAACACAUGCAAGUCGAGGGGUAUUUGGACUUCGGUUCAGAGAGACCGGCAAACGGGUGCGGAACACGUACACAACCUACCUUUAUCAGGGAGAUAGCCCAUAGAAAUGUGGAUUAAUACCCCAUAGUAUUAGGUGAUGGCAUCAUCAUUUAAUUUAAAGAAAUUUCGGUAUAGAGAUGGGUGGUGCGUAAGAUUAGCUAGUUGGUAGGGUAACGGCCUACCAAGGCAACGAUCUUUAGCUGAUGUGAGAGCAUGAUCAGCCACACGGGCACUGAGACACGGGCCCGGACUCCUACGGGAGGCAGCAGUGAGGAAUAUUGGUCAAUGGACGGAAGUCUGAACCAGCCAUGCCGCGUGAAGGAAGACGGCCCUA
rnacentral:rRNA from 1 species